CCACCUUAAUCAGCCACAGAACCUGUGUAAUUCAUAUGUGUUUGAUUUUAAAGGGAUGUGGUGGCAACCCUAGUCUGGGUCAGGUAUUGUCCUGCACCUGAGGUCCUAUACAACCCUAGUCUGGGUCAGGUAUUGUCCUACACCUGAGGACCUAUACAACCCUAGUCUGGGUCAGGUAUUGUCCUACACCUGAGGUCCUAUACAUCCCUAGUCUGGGUCAGGUAUUGUCCUGCACCUGAGGUCCUAUACAGCCCUAGUCUGGGUCAGGUAUUGUCCUACACCUGAGGACCUAUACAACCCUAGUCUGGGUCAGGUAUUGUCCUACACCUGAGGUCCUAUACAACCCUAGUCUGGGUCAGGUAUUGUCCUACACCUGAGGACCUAUACAACCCUUGGUCUGGGUCAGGUAUUGUCCUGCACCUGAGGUCCUAUACAUCCCUAGUCUGGGUCAGGUAUUGUCCUACACCUGAGGACCUAUACAACCCUUGGUCUGGGUCAGGUAUUGUCCUGCACCUGAGGUCCUAUACAACCCUAGUCUGGGUCAGGUAUUGUCCUACACCUGAGGACCUAUACAACCCUUGGUCUGGGUCAGGUAUUGUCCUGCACCUGAGGUCCUAUACAACCCUAGUCUGGGUCAGGUAUUGUCCUACACCUGAGGACCUAUACAACCCUUGGUCUGGGUCAGGUAUUGUCCUGCACCUGAGGUCCUAUACAUCCCUAGUCUGGGUCAGGUAUUGUCCUACACCUGAGGUCCUAUACAACCCUAGUCUGGGUCAGGUAUUGUCCUACACCUGAGGUCCUAUACAACCCUAGUCUGGGUCAGGUAUUGUCCUACACCUGAGGACCUAUACAACCCUUGGUCUGGGUCAGGUAUUGUCCUGCACCUGAGGUCCUAUACAACCCUAGUCUGGGUCAGGUAUUGUCCUGCACCUGAGGUCCUAUACAACCCUAGUCUGGGUCAGGUAUUGUCCUACACCUGAGGACCUAUACAACCCUAGUCUGGGUCAGGUAUUGUCCUACACCUGAGGUCUUAUACAACCCUAGUCUGGGUCAGGUAUUGUCCUACACCUGAGGACCUAUACAACCCUAGUCUGGGUCAGGUAUUGUCCCGCACCUGAGGUCCUAUACAUCCCUAGUCUGGGUCAGGUAUUGUCCUGCACCUGAGGUCUUAUACAACCCUAGUCUGGGUGAGGUAUUGUCCUACACCUGAGGACCUAUACAACCCUAGUCUGGGUCAGGUAUUGUCCUACACCUGAGGUCUUAUACAACCCUAGUCUGGGUGAGGUAUUGUCCUACACCUGAGGACCUAUACAACCCUAGUCUGGGUCAGGUAUUGUCCUACACCUGAGGUCUUAUACAACCCUAGUCUGGGUCAGGUAUUGUCCUACACCUGAGGACCUAUACAACCCUAGUCUGGGUCAGGUAUUGUCCCGCACCUGAGGUCCUAUACAACCCUAGUCUGGGUCAGGUAUUUUCCUGCACCUGAGGACCUAUACAACCCUAGUCUGGGUCAGGUAUUGUCCUACACCUGAGGUCCUAUACAACCCUAGUCUGGGUCAGGUAUUGUCCUGCACCUGAGGUCCUAUACAACCCUAGUCUGGGUCAGGUAUUGUCCUACACCUGAGGACAUAUACAACCCUAUUCUGGGUCAGAUAUUGUCCUACACCUGAGGUCCUAUACAUCCCUAGUCUGGGUCAGGUAUUGUCCUGCACCUGAGGUCCUAUACAUCCCUAGUCUGGGUCAGGUAUUGUCCUACACCUGAGGUCCUAUACAACCCUAGUCUGGGUCAGGUAUUGUCCUGCACCUGAGGUCCUAUACAUCCCUAGUCUGGGUCAGGUAUUGUCCUACACCUGAGGACCUAUACAACCCUAGUCUGGGUCAGGUAUUGUCCUACACCUGAGGACCUAUACAUCCCUAGUCUGGGUCAGGUAUUGUCCUACACCUGAGGACCUAUAUAUGACUGCUCUUUAUCUCUGUCCCAAAGCACAAACCAAAAAUGUAAUGUCACAAUCCAACACUGGUAACUGAACUAUAUAGACAUUCCUCUGACCAGACCAAGAUUACAAUACAGGAGAGGUGGUUUCAGAAUUCUAUGCACGUUUCUUUCCAUCCUUCCUCCCUAUAUUCUGACACCUUCUUCGAGACCUUGCUCCUCCUCACCGUACACCAGACUGUGACCUAUACACAUUCAUAUCUUUGGAGGCCUGUAAAGAAAAAUAGAAGCUUCCUCGCAGAAAUAAGCGUAACAAGAAAGUAAAUACGAAAGCCGAUCACGACAGUUCAUCCGAAACACAACGUUUUCUCGGACGAUAGCAGAACAAAUAAUUUUCUUUUAAUCAGUACAGUAAUUGGUUUGAAAAAUAAAAAUCGGGAAGACCAAGACCACGCAUGCCCAGAAAUGAAAGAAUACAUUACUAUAGAAUACAUGGCAUCACUUCCGAAGUCGUAUUCUGUCGUACGAGAAUUUUCUAACAUUUUAGUAACUUCUUCGUUUUCGAUAUGAGACUAGCAUG